CUGAGCGCGCAGCCCGCUGGCCCCGCUGCUGCUGCCCCCCCCCGCUGCCCCCCCCCGCUCCGCCCUCCGGGGCUCCCCGCGCUUACCCAGCCCUCGGGCCCUGCACCUGUUGAACUGGCAGAAGUUCGGUCCCUCCCGGGAUGCCGGUGGUCCUAAAAACAGACUUGCACUGCGGUGUUCCCUUCCCGAAAGAAGAGGAUUGUGUGCCAUCUUGUGGUUGAGGGGCAUCACAACAGCGGUUCUGCACCCAGAGCAUCCUUUCUAGUCCAGCACCGGCCUUACCUGCCAUAAAGCUCUGGAACGGGUUCUGGUUCAGCGGUAGGAGCAAUCAGAGAAUGCAUCUCCAGAGAGACACUGGGGACUGAACUGGUAAUGAAUGGCAUUGGAGUACGGUCCAAAGGGAUUUUUCCUGCAACUGGUGGGAAUUGUAAAUCUCAUCCCUGUUAUUCCAUCUUGACUGGAAAUGGCAGAUGAGCAAACCAAGGUCUUUGACCCCAAAUCCUGUGCUCUUUCCUUAAGAAGCCUGAUGGAAGAGAAGAAAUCAUCACAACACCCAGGAGUCAUGAAAAGCACCUGGAGCAUGUAAUCUGUUCCAAAUGGGCAAAGCCUUCCCAGGGGGACCAGGGAUGGUCCACAGAGCCUCUGCCCUUCCCUCUGUGGUGGAAGAUCUCCCUCUCGAUGUAGCUACGCAAGCCCAGGGUGACUCUCACUUUUCUUCCAUUCUCCCCCUCCUUCUUUCUCUCAUCUUUCUUCCUCCCUCUUUCCACCCUUCUUUCUCCCUUCCCUCGUCACCCUCUGGCAGCUGGAUUGAGGCUGAAGAUGGGGUGUCAGACGCAGUCAGAUGUGGAGCUGCUGCCGAUGCACCUGCCCAGCAAUUUGCAUUCACCACUCAUUCAGUCCUUACAAAAACCUCGAGAAGAGGCACUUCUCCCCGUGACACAAGGAGAGGAACUGAGGCUAAGAGAGCUUCUGUCAUUCCUGUAAGGCCAUUGUACUGGUUAGUAAGUGAUUUCUUUCUGUUUCAGAACCCAUCUUUUCUGUGAUGCUGAGGCCUGGACUCUGCAAACCACAUUUCUGCUUUAUCACUGGCUCUUCGUUGGCAGGCUAGCAGGAGACUGUCGCGCUGGGCAAGGGAGAAGGGACUGCUGCUUCCUAUUUGCUUCCCAGUAAGGUCAGCAUCUCGCCCGUAGUGGUUUUCACCUCUGCAGCAGUAACUUCCCACAUCCCCAGACCGGCCCUUCAAAAAUAUCAGCAUCAGUCAACUCAGAGGUCCAGGUCCCAGUUAUAAAGGGCUCUGCUCCGAGCUUUGAGGUUCUAAUAUCCUCAUCCUCUUCUCUUUGUCCUGCUAGCCCUUGGGGCAGUCACUGCUUCCUAAAGUCACCAUCCCUCUGUGCCUCAGUGGCCUCUUUGUUCUUUUUACCUUUUUGCAUCUCCAGUACCCAUUUAAACAAUUCCUCUGUUAAAUUCUUUUCUGUUAAAGUUACUGGCUUAGUUUCUGUUUUCCUAAUACACAGAGCACUAGGAUUCAAAACCAAGUAUGUUUGACUCCAAAUCCAGGCCCUUGAUCCCUACUCUGGGCUAUUCCCAUCCGCUCCCUUUCCUACCUGUGGCAAAGAUACAUUGCUUUGAUCAAACUUUACUCAACCUCCUAAUCCUUCUCCUAGGCCCAUCUGUGCACCACCUUAUAAAAAUCUAGUUUUGUCAAGAACCCUGCUAAAUCAGUUUAUCCAGAACCUUCCACCUUCGAUAUCUGAUCAGGCUCCCCAUGCUCCAC